rnacentral:rRNA from 1 species
GACGAACGCUGGCGGCGUGCCUAAUACAUGCAAGUAGAACGCUGAAGGCGGAGCUUGCUUCGCUGGAUGAGUUGCGAACGGGUGAGUAACGCGUAGGUAACCUGCCUGGUAGCGGGGGAUAACUAUUGGAAACGAUAGCUAAUACCGCAUAAUAUUGACUAUUGCAUGAUAGUCAGUUGAAAGGUGCAACUGCACCACUACCAGAUGGACCUGCGUUGUAUUAGCUAGGUGGUGGGGUAACGGCUGACCAAGGCGAGGAUACUUAGUCGCCCAGGGAGGGGGGGCUGCCACGCUGGGGAGGGUACACGGCCCAAUCGGCUAUGGGAGGCAGCAGAAGGGAAUCUUCGGCGAUGGAGGGAAGACUGACCGAGCAAGGGCGCGUGAGUGAAGAAGGAUCUCGGAGCGUAAAGCGCCGUUGUUAGGGAUGAACGAGGGUGAGGGUGGAAAGCUCACGCUGUGACGGUAACUUAGCAGAGAGGCACGGCUAACUACGUG